rnacentral:rRNA from 1 species
UACGGAGGAUGCAAGCGUUAUCCGGAUUUAUUGGGUUUAAAGGGUGCGUAGGCGGGGAAUUAAGUCAGUGGUGAAAGUCUGGCGGCUUAACCGUAGAAUUGCCAUUGAUACUGAUUUUCUUGAGUAUAGUUGAAGUAGGCGGAAUGUGUAAUGUAGCGGUGAAAUGCUUAGAUAUUACACAGAACACCGAUUGCGUAGGCAGCUUACUAAGCUAUUACUGACGCUGAGGCACGAAAGCGUGGGGAGUAAACAGG